rnacentral:lncRNA from 1 species
CGAUGACGGAUUUAGCUAUGGCGUAGUUGUCCUUUCAACUGACGGACUUUUUAGAUAGUUUCACGUGGAGAGGCUGUCGACAGAGAACGGGAGCUUUUGCCGACCCUAGAGACGGGGGUCGUUGGUGUGAAUGGGUUUCCGACAAAGGGAGUCGGCGGCUAGAAAAAGACUUGCUGGCGUUUCUGACGGGCGAACUAACUUUGUAGCUUUGCCGCGCCUUCUGAUUCAGCUGGCAGAAUACGUGAGAGGUAACCCGGUAGCUUGUGCGUGGAAGCUGUCGUCCGUAAAACUGUUAGCUCGGUAGGGAUUCAGCAGCGUUUGCGAAUGCAAUUUACCGAUGAACCACUGCGCCAAUGUCCGGUUCCGUGUCACGGAGUUGCUGGGGUUACGACAUCCAGCAGCUCGUUCUCGAGAGGUUGAUGGCUGCCGAAAUGGGCGCCUUCCUCAGGACUCGAAAGCACUGAAAGGUUCAACUGGCGCGAAAAAACAUUCGGCGGUCUUUAGUUCCCUGAACUUCGAAGGCGACAGCCGCGUCGCAGCGGGGGUUUGUGCGAAGGAUAUUUCCUUGACACAUUUCAAAACCGGAGAGGGAUACAGGCGAUGAUACGCCAGCACAAGGAUCAGAAUGUCCAUCUUUGCAGCUGGCACCGUCUGUGUUCACUGUUGUGCAUCCAAAUGCCUUUCUCAAUGCACAGAUUUUACCGGUACUUGCAAGUGAAUCUAUGUCUUCUUACUUUACCGCCGAUAUAUACAUAUACAUAUAUAUAUAUAUACUUACUGUGCCUGUACAUGGGGUUCCAUAAGUGCAUGUCUCCGUGCAAUGAGUAUGUCACUUUUCGAGGGUGUCGCUGUUCGUCGCCACAGUAUCAGAGCACGUAGACGUGCCUCCUACAGUCUUCUGUCAUGUCCUCAUCCGAUUUACUGGGCAGCGAACGCUUCUUUCUUGCGCGUAAUUUGCGUUCACCGCCUCACCGACAAAUGGGGUUGUGAUGGCCACACGACGAACCGCUGUUUCCCGCGUCAGCACUUUGCCGUCUUCACGUCGAGUCCACAGAGGCUGGUUUGUGUAUGCAUGUGCAUCCGUGUUUGGAGAGGGAUUCGAUGUGAGUGUGUGAAGACACAUAGCUCUUCUGUAUUCGCGGCUUUCGCUCUCUGGGGAAGAAGCGUCACUGGCUACACAUCUCGAAAUCAAAGAGCACGGAGACUGUUUCCAGACGUGCAUAGAUUUUCUUCGCGAGAACUUCAGACGAAAAAUUGGUCAGGCGAGAUGACACGGACUCAAGAACUCCGUUUUUUAUUUCAGGAAAGGCAGUGCCCCCGAAAAGGACGAGUUUUCUGCUGUGAAUCCCUGGACACAUUUUCACCGUUUCUCUCUCCACAGGAAGCGAGGAACCUUCGUUUAAAGGACGACGCUCGGUCCAGAAAACUGCCUUUGAAGCCUUUUCUCGCUUUGCUGGAUGCUCGUG